rnacentral:lncRNA from 1 species
GUGUCCUUCCUCUCUUUGUGGUGGCAUGUGGGCUGUUCCAAUGGUCUUGAGAUCAAAUUUCAAGGGUCUUUCUCCCUCCUCUCCAAAGAAGACAUUCAUCCCUCUCUUCUACAGAGUUUGACGUGCACACAAAGUAGAAGAUCUACGCAUCCAGAUCUUGCGAAGCAUAUUGAUCGAGGAACAUUUUUAAUCUUGAUUAUUUUUUGCUACGAAUUA